AUCGCUUCUCGGCUCCUUGGAGCUAAAAUCAAAGUGUAGUGUCUGUUCUUAUCAGUUUAAUCUCUUUUGAUGAACACUUACAACACCUGCUCUGAAGAUGGAUUCUCCUGCUGCCAUUUUUGAAAAAAAAUCGAUGCUGCUUUGAAGAUGUAUUCCGCUGCAUCUUCUUUGGAGGAAAAUCCUCUCUCUGCUCCUGAGACAUCCC
rnacentral:snRNA from 1 species